rnacentral:lncRNA from 1 species
AAGUAUUUAUUUCUCUUAAAGAUACGAUUAAAAAAUUUUUUUUUUAGUGCUUGAGACAGAUACACUCUGUCUCUCUCUCUCUACAUACGUUUUCUGUUUAUUUAAAUUGACCGUCAAAGAGCUGUUUUUCGAAAACAGUUUCGACGGUCGUUCUCACUGUUUUUAUAUCGCAGUUAGACCCUCGCCGACUAGUGACUGACUGUAGACACCUGUACAUCGUAGAACCCCCACAAGUAUCUACUUCAAUUUUAUUUCUCUCCUCCUAAACUACACACCCACAGUAAAUGCAUUCUUCAAAUUAGAUAGAGAUAAGAUUUUAGUUUGUGAUUUUGAAUUCAAUUUGUAUAUACUAAUAUGAUUAUGAUGGCGGAUAAAUUAUAUUUAUUUAUUUUAUUAAUUUUUGUAUUUUUUUUAAUUUUAAAUUAGUUUUUUAUUUUAAGUUAUUAGGAGUCCUUGUAUAUUAGGAGCUUGAUUGAGAUUUUUAGCAGUUAUCAAUAGAGUUAGUUUUUUUGGGGGGGGGGGUCUAUUCUAUUUAAGAAUUUUUUUGUUAGCGAUGGAAAUGAGAUUCUGUUUGCUGAUUAAUGAGAAAACAUUUAUUUUUUUCUUCUUCUUCUAGAUUCUGGUGAGAUGUCAAACUUCUCUCCUCCCCUUCUAACAAUAAAAUGAAUCCCUUCUGAUUAUUAGCUCCCAUGCCCCACACAAUAAUGAUCCUCGAAUAACUUAGCAUAUGCUUAGUUCUUUUCUUGGAGAUCAGUCAACCAUAUAAAUUGUUUGGUCUUUACCCAGUUAUAAAGGUAGCAGUAAAUAUCUAAAUUAUAUUAAAAAAAAUGGCGAUCGAUCGUGAUUAAGGACUACAUACCUGCAAGCUAUGGGAAGUUCGUCUGGAUCAAGAUAAUCAGAAACCCGCAUGGAGAUGUGCAAGGUGUCUCUCCAAUUUGCAGCUCGUGACUGAUACAAAUCAUAAUUGCACACGUAUUUCACUCUUCUCAUCUGAUCCCGGGAAUAGAACCCUUUCUUUACCUCUUGAUCUUGUUCAUGAAACAGUCGUGUUCCAUCAAUCAUUUCGUCCAACACACUCAAGGGAAUUCCGUGAUUGACCACUUGAAAAAAUCCCCAUUUCUCAGAUGCAAUUCUGAUUUCUCGGACAGUUUCCUCGCGUUUAUCAGUUCUUCCAAUACCGCUGAGAUCAAUUAUCGAAUGAAAAUUUAUCUUUCUUGAGACUUUUCAACUCCUGAGAAAGCUCAUCUGGUGGUCUAAUGAAUUUUGGGGACUUUUAAUCACCCCAGCAAUCAAUUAGCCCUUUAACAAAAACACGAGCUUUUGAAAUCAUCGAAAGAUUUCACUUCCUUCGCCCGUUCAUAGUAAUCUUCUGUACUUUGAGUAGAGGGUUCUUUGGUGUCUGAGAUAUCCUUAUUUCCUCUAUGUGAAGAGUUGCAGAUAGAUAAUGUGCUCUGUUGAAGGCCUCUGGUUUUCAAUACCCGCUUCACAUUGUUUAAUCUUUAAACUAUCAUAAAAAUAAGGAACUCAAUAGCAAAUGGAAUAUUCAAUAUUUGGAAACCAUUCUAAAAGUCAACUUUGGAGCUUGAAGCUAAUCUCUAGGAUGGUAACGAAAUAAGAUCCAUAUCCUUAUCCUAUACGUAAACCCGCCUAAAAAAUCUUUCCUCAUAUCCGCCCCAAACUUGCUUAACCCGUUCCCAAACCCGCCUUGCCCAGCGAGAUGCUAACCUAGCAUAUCCCUACCCUACCUGCAUAUGUAUUGUUUUUUUACGAAUCAACCUUUUGUGAUUCACCCAAACACGCUUUGAAUUCAUUGAAUUUUUUAAAGUUAUUAAGACAAUAAAGUUCAAAACUCCACUAUGUAUUGAUGCUAGUUAUUUUCUUAUUCAAACCUCACUAGAGCUUGUGGCUCAAUUGUAGUGGGUGAGUUCUAGUAAUAAGAAAGAUGACGUUAAAAAAGAAAAAUUACGAUAGUGAAUGUAGAAAAUAGUUUAAAUCACAGGUAACGUAUAAUUUACUUAUAGAAAAAUUAAGGUCAUGAUCCGACAUGACUCACAGUGUGGGAGGUUUAUGCGAAUCUAUAAUUUUUAAGGCAUUACAGUGCAUUGUAAUCAAGAAUAGGUAAUUUUGGAAACAUUUACGAGCAGAUGUCAACAAGAUUUGAGAACAAGCAUUCACUUCUUCACAUCCCGAAGAAGAGCAGAUUAACAAUUCCACAACACAUCACAAGCACCGAUAUUCAUAUCUAUCACACUACAUAAGUAUCACUCAAUCAUUGUUUCGCUAUAACAAUUAUCAAUAGAAAGUUUACUGGCACAUUCCUACAAGAAGAUUAUCAAAAUGAGGGUAAUACUCAAGGUAUAGGACCCAUCCUUUGUCGUAAUUACUAAUAGUAGGAACAGUCGCAGAAUUUGUGCUUCACAAGAUAUUGAUUACAAAUCAAUUUGAACAAUUUGAAAUCGGCUCAACAUAGAGUAUGAAGAAGAUUUAAAACAAGAAGUAAUAUCAGAAAAUCCGCACAUAUUUUACCAGAAAGACAACCCUCUACCGUUCCAACUUACGUAAACACGAAAUCAUAUCAUUUCAACUCAAGCCAUCUUUAAACUACCAUGACAACAGAAGUUAUUCUAAACUAACCUCAUAUUUUUUUCUGGAAACUUCACUAUUGAAAUAUGUAAUGCGGCGUUCCCAUCAAGCCUCUGAAUCAUAUAUUAUAUAUAUAUAUAUAUAUUAUAUAUAUAUAUAUUAAUUAUAUAUAUAUAGGCAAUUAAUCUUUCUAACAGUCAUUCAUCGGUCCAUACAUCUUUGUCGAUGGGUAAAGGUGUGGGGUGACAAAAUUCCGGCGUCCGGGAGGCCUUUGACGCCGGAUUUGGAUUCGUCGAAGGCCUUUAGGUCUGUUGUGCGGUCGUAGUGGUCCAGUGAAGGUUCGGUGGACGCCUCCGACACCGUCGACGGCCUGCUUAAUUAGCCCCAUUACUAACGUGGGAUACGUAAUUCUAGUAAAAUCGAUCAGAUAAACAGCGAAUUGUCAUCCAUUCAACCGGACAUGUUAUCUUGCCAUCAAAUCUCAUUUAGAUAUUGGGAUUUGGGCAUAGAUUUGUAGUCCAAUUUUAUGACCAAUCAAUGGCCACGAGGCAUUAUAUUUAGAGAAGUUAAUGUAUGGUUGGUGUUAAUGCCAGGCUUAUUUGUGGGGUAGUUAACAUGUUUGUCUCUUUGGUAGUCUAUUUGGUAGUUUUAAUCUGAUUUAGAAGCAAGUUGUCCCUCGUAAAGGUAAUGGUUCUUCCUUGUAUUUAUUUUGAUAAUACCAUCCCCGUCCCCUAUAUAACAUAUCUUUUUAAGUAUUCACUUGGAAGACAAUUAUAUUAUUAUAUAUAGUUUACAUUUAAUUUUUUUUUGUCGAUAAAAUUUCUGGGUCCGAAGAGUGUUUUGUUUUUAUCCAUGUAAUAAUUGUUUUUUGAUUUUUUGCUUUGUUUGAAAUGUGAGAAGGAAAAUUACGUAUCUUUUCUUUGUUGACUUUUAGAAGUUGAAUUAUAUUUUGGGACAUGGUUUAUGAUUUAAAUUCUCUCAUAUAUUUCAAAGUUUUACGGCUCUCCGGUGUAUCCGCCUAACUGCUUUCAAUUCCUUGAGUUGAGUCAAUUCAUAUAGAAUUUUUACGAUUUUAAUCAUCCCCAACUCGUAACUUCUAUAUUUAGUCAUUCAGCUAGGAGAAGAUACAAGCUAUCAAAAGUGGGAAAUCAUAAGCUCAUUUUAAAUUCUAUGAGAUGCGCGUGUAUAUGUCUUUUGAAAUUGGAUUUAGCUUUGGAAAUGUAUACUUUGACUUCUUUCACGGUCGAAUACCAAUAUCCAAGACGAGAUAUAUUUUUCAUGAUUUGAGUUGUGUUUAUGCCUAGUCUAAUUUUGCCCAUUGGCCAGAAUACGAAAUCGGAAGGGUACAUUACCUGUGUGUCCAACCGUAGGCAUUCCAUCAUCCAUUACAUCCAAGACGUUUAUAAUGGAUUCCGUGGUGGAUCACGUUGAAACGAUCCCCCAUUAUCCACAAGAGGCCCGGAUUCUUCUUCAACACCUCACCCUGCAUAGAUGAAUUUCUAUCAAUACUUCAAAGUCUGAUUAAGUGGAAUGCCAAACUUAGAGUCCCCAAAGACCGAGUUUAAGAUUUACAUCUUGUUUGUGGGUCCUGAAAAAAAUAUUUGGGAUCUUCCUCACUCAGCCUCGGGCCCUCGCCUUUACUCUCCGCUUAUGAUUCAUUCCAAAACUUUAAUUCACUAUUCCGAUCAUAGACCACUCUCGUUCAUUCGCCAGUUAUACUAGUGGAACACCAUUUUUCAAUUUCCCUUUUCUCUAGCGAUGUACAAAAUGAGGUGCGCUUUCCUUUGUCAUGGAGGAUAGCAAAGUAUGCCAAAGUGGAGUGGGCCUCUGUCUGUCCACCGACGGCCAUUUUCGUUGAAAUAGAGUUUUUUAAUUGGACCUUAACUUACAUAGGGGACUCAUUCCUCAAAAAUCUUAUAGUAAUAGAGAGUUUGAGUACCAUCUAGGAAAUAGAGUGAGUUUCUUGUAUAAGUAUUGGGUAAACAUAGUUGGGGUAUGUUACCAAUACAUAUGAAACUUGAUUACAUAUUGCCUGCAUAUUCAUGUCUUGUGGGAACGGUAUUGGUUCCCUAGAUAACACAACGAUCUGUUUGGUUUUUUUAAAUUUUUUUGUUUGUUCUAACUUCAACAACCAAUUUAGCAGACUCAAAAUUCCAAAAAAGGGACCAAAAGUAGAAUUGAUCAUUUCAUAUCACCACAACUAUUCCUCGCCCAGGCUUUUUCAUCAGUCAAUAUGUUUAAUUUGCGCAAAAAUGUAUAUCCCAUAAUUCAAAUCGCUCAUAGCUUGACUGGUCAAGGCCAGACUCACCAAGCGCCCUGGAAAUAAACUUUUCAAUAUAAUCACUUACUGGAAAAUCUUUAUACAGUGGAGGAUUUUCUUCCGAUAUCAGUUCUUGAUGGAACCGUAGACCUUUUGGAGUACAAAUCACCGCAAAAACGAUGGCCACAGAAAUCCUCGGCCCCUACACAUUGCCAGCACUCUGUGAUCGACACUUUUAAACUUGGCGUUCGAUAUUAUCUGAAUCCAAAUAACAAAAAAAAAUUUUAAGAAUUUCCAAAACUAUUAAUCCGUCGCAAUAUUUUAACAAUUACUACAUUUUUAUUGGAACAGACCUGGAGCAGAUCCCCAAUAUCUGAUAACCAAACCACCGGCAAUUGCUUGAACAAUCAACCCACUUGGUUUUUUCAUACAGGACUUGGAGGCCGCCAAGUUGGGUCUUUGAAGGAGGUGUAAGGAAGUAGGAUUCUGUGUGCUUGCUGGAUCCCAAAGUAGCUCUGGCUUCUGGGCCAUGCUGGAUAAAUAGUGGCCAAACUUCGACCUCUAGCACAAGCGAGGUCGUUAAGUGGUCUGGUUUGAGCCAGAGCCUCUGAUAAUAAACUCAAAUAGAAUGUUCUCCCCAACGUAGUAAACCUUGCUUGUGGUACUCAAUUGCUAUUAGCUCUGCAAAUUUAACAGCAAAGAUAUAGUAUGUGUAAGGGGACAAAAUGUACAAUGACAGACUCCGACCUUGUUAGGGUAGGAGUCUCCACCGAGCUAUUACUAUAGAACAAACUCGGUAGUCAUUUGCGUCAGAGCUCGGUGCAGAUAUUACCGAAUACAGAUUCUGUCCAAACUAAGACCAUUGUUACCCGAGCUAUUGCUAUUUAGCAAGUUCGGAAAAAUAACUACGCUAGAACUUGGGCGAAGGACAACGGCCGGCAGCGAUUACGAGGGAUGUUAGGUGACAGAAGGUAACUUGCACGUCAAAACUCCUUCUGACAGCUUCCAUGCUCAAAUCGAAACGUCGGCAGCAUAAGGCUACAUCCAGGUCCUAGGUGUAAUAUCCCAACUCCCCAUACAAAAUUUUAGACAUAAUGCUCGAAAAAUACUAUUAUUUUCAUAAAUCUUUCUCAGAGUUUCGGGCUCUUAUUCAUUCUUCUUCUUUUGUCUUUUCUAAAUGUAGAACUAAUGGAGUCACGUGGGUUUUUGCCAGAAGCUUCAAGCUUCUUUAUUGGAUUUCCUAUUUGUAUCUUAGCCCUUUAUCUUAUAUAGCAAGAGAGAAAGACAUGAGUUAGAAAUUCGAGAAAAGGAAGGAUAUGAAACUAGACACUUGUAAUUUUACCAAGCCACAUGGCCCGUGAAAUGGCGAAACCCAGACCACCUCACUAUAGGUAAGCCAACUUUUUACGUCUAAUGUAUAUAAACAUAUGAGGAUAGAGAGAUGGUAAAAGAGCGACAUAUGAGGAGAGAGAGAGAGAGAGAGAGAGAGAGAGAGCAUUUCUCUGCUCAAAACAGCCCACACGCGAACAUUUAUAUAUAUAUUAGAAGCUAAAAGAGAGAUUAUAUAGGAUGGUAAGUUAUAAUCACGAGAGGUAGGAUACGUAAUCAACGAUGUGAUGAUAUCCGAUUGAGAUGAAAAUACAGUAUGUUGAUGUGAUGAUAUCCGAUUGAGAUGAAAAUACAGUAUGUUAUUUAUGGCUGAUAGAUCUUUAUAUUUAAGGGUGUCAAUUUCAAUUUAAGAUAAGUAGGUGGUAUACAAUAUGUUUUCUAAAACUCCGGAAUUAUUUCUAAAAUAUCUAAUUUUGUACUCUUUUUGAGCGUCUGCUAUCUGUUGAAAUUCAUGACAUUUUAUUAAAAUCAUGAUGCGUAUUAGCUGAAAUGUCAUGGUAUUGAAUGGUACGGAUUGAGUGAGCUUGCAAAUAACCCUGGCACCAAGUAAAGCCAGAAAGGCUAGGUGGGGUGGGGGAGGCCAGCCACCAGUCACGUACCAAGAAAGACCGGGUAUGAGAUCUUUAAUUGAAUAUUGAUUCAUUGAACGUCUUAUAAACUUGUUUGUUUGAGUCAUUAUUAUUGGUUGAGUAUAUUCCCGUCAUAUUGGGUCUACUUCUUUGUUAAAUAAUUUUCAUGUGACGAGAAGUCCGGGUUAUGCGAGAUUGGGUCGGAAAAAAGCUUGAAAUUUAAUUAUCUUUAUAUUAAUUUUAUUUGAAAAGAUUGUAAAAUAAAGACUGUGAUUAUAAUAACAGGAGACGAAUUUACGGAUAUUUAAUUUGCGCUCAAUUACGGUCCGGGCAAGGUUGUUUACAACACUAUGAGCAUGCUGGGUCCCCUCUUACUCAGCACUGACACACAGUCGACGCAUAUGAGCACGUUCGGAGUUAUGCCAUAUAAAUUCAAUUCAGCAGUUAUUUCUCUCAAAGAUACGAUAAUUAGUGCUUGAGACGAUUACACUCUUUCUCUCUCUCCUCUCUCUACAUACAUUUUCUGUUCAUUUAAAUUGACUCUUCAAAGAGCUGUUUUUUCGAAAACAGUUUCGACGGUCAUGUUCUCACUAUUUUUUGUAUCGCAGUUAGACCCUUGCCGACUAGUGACUGACUGCAGUCACCCGUACAUCAGUAGAACCACCACAAGUAUCUAUCCUCAAUUUUAUUUCUCUCAUUUCCUAAACCUACACCCCACAGUAUGCAUUCAUGUCAAAUUAGAUAGAGAUAAGUUGUGAUUUUGAAUUCAAAUUUGUAUAUACAUAAUAUGAUUUAUGAUGUGGAAUAAAAUUAUAUUUAUUUAUUUAUUAAUUUUUGUAUUUUUUAAUUUUUUAAUUAGUUUUUUAUUUUAAGUUAAUUAGGAGUUUUUAGUAUGUUAAGAGUCGGUUUAGAUUUUUACGCAGUUAUCAAAUUUGAUUUUAAUAGUUAUCAAUAGAGUUAGUUUUAGAAGGCAAUUUAGAAAGGCUAAAUUUAUUCUUCCAUCUCUAUCUCAUAUAUAAUACAAUUAUAACCUAAUUAGAAGUGAAUAAAGAAAAAUAAAAGAGAAAAUAAACUAAGGUCCACAUGACUCUAUUAUAGAUGAUAGUUAAAAAGUUUCCUAAUUGAAUUGAAACAAAAAGGAAAAAUAAGAGAAAUAAACUAAGGUCAACAUGACCUAUUAUAGAUGAAUAGAUUACGAAAGUUUCCUAAUUUAAUUAGGAACAAAUCUUCUAAAAUUCCAACACUCCCCCUCAAGCUGAGGCAAAAUACAGACAAGGCCCCAGCUGACAAGAAUGACUUCACAAUGAGGGACCAAUAUAUUUAGUGAACAUGUCAGCAGUCUGAGCAUAUAUGGCACAAACUAGUAGUUGAUAACUCCUGAACGAACUUUUUCUCGAAUGAAAUGACUAUCAACUUCAAUGUCUUGUUCGCUCAUGAAUACUGAGUCAGAGGAUAACAUAUAGCUGACUUAUUGUCACAAAACAGGUAAGAUGAGUCUGUCACGAGAAACCCAACUCAGUUUAGAAGAACCGAAGCCAAUAAUUUCACUGUUUCCCCCCUGAGCCCUGGCACGAUACUCCAGCUUCGGGCAGAGAUCGAUACAGACCACUGCUUGCUUCUUACUUUUCCAAAUAUGAGAUGACUACCAUGAACUUGUACAAAAAAACCACACCCAAAAGGGAGCGUCUAUCACUCUUAGCCCCGCAUAAUCAGCAUCUGUAAAGCAUGAGAGGCCCGACUGGACUCCGGACUUAUAGAACCAUCCACGACCGGACACGACUUAAGGUACCGGAGAAUGUGGUAACACGGCAUCUAGGUGAGAUGUACGCGGCGAAUUGCAUAACUUGCUCACAAUACUGACAGCAAAAUGUGAGAUCAGUCUUGUAUUCGUCAAGUAAUGAUGGUCGACCCACCAGUCGCUGAUAGAUGAUGGAUCUGGCAAUAAUUUUCCUAACUCGGCUGUAUCCUUUCCAAAAUUGGUACCAUAGGUCGUAUAUGCAUGUCCUACCUCCCAAGCAUGCCCGUACCUUAAGGAGAUCAAGAAAUACUCCGCUGGGAGAGAAUAUACCUGACAACAGAGACCGAGCAACCUCAAUCCCAAGAAUUUAAAGAAGAGGACCCCGAAUCCUUAUGUCAAAUCUUUCCUUAGCCCACAUUUCACUUGAACUAUGCCAGAAGUAUCGUCUCCCGUAGAAUAAUGUCCAUCAACAGAAACUGAGAUAAUAAUUCAAUGCACCCGACCCUAAGACUGACGCGAAUCAGCAAGUAUGAUCUGCGGUGGCAACUGCUGAAACUCUAUAGACCAGACUAACCUACCUCACUGAAGCGGUGGAACCAAGCCCUAACUGUCUUAAGCCAUGAUAUAUUUUCGGAGGCGACAACAUCCCCGAAUACUCCCCUUGAGCCCGAAACCUGGAGGUGGAUCCAUAGUAUAUAGGCUCCGGAGAUCACCAGUAAUAAGAAGCAUUCUUGACAUCUAAUUGGUGCAGUGGCCACGUAGUGAGAAGCCGCAAGGGAAAAUUCAAAGACGAAUGGUAUUCACUUUGGGCAACUGGGGCAAAAGUAGCACCAAAAUCCUUACCCAGUAAUCUGAGUAAAACCCUUAGCAACCAGACAGCCUAUAUCGAUCAACUGAGCCAUCUGCCAAUACUUGACACUGAAACACCCAUUUACAUCCCAACGGCGCUCUCCUUUCGGCAAUGCAACAAGAUCCCAAGUCCGAUUUCGCUGAAGAGCCUCCAUCUCUUGCCUUCAUGGCCGAAACCUACAAAGGAUUUUUGAGAGCCUCAUAAUGAGCGAUGAAUGGAAAUCGAAUCAACCUGACAAGAAAGACUUAUAGGAAUCUGAAAGACCGUGAUAAGACAAAUAUUUGGCAAUAGGAUGAUUAGACUAUUUGAAAAGAAGAAUACGGGAGGGGGUACGACGAACCGUGUGGGAAUACCGAGGUGGGGGAAUAUCAGAAACUAAAGGAGGAUACAUACCUGACUCCGGAGAAGACCCAGGGCAAGGAGUCGGAGCGCGGGGACUGGGGUCCUGAGAGGCGCUCGUGGGCAUGGAGCUAGUACGUGGAGAGUUGAUUAAUUAGGCUCAAGUAAUAGUGAAGAGGAAGAGAGGUAUGGGGUUCAUUGUCGUAAGCAUCUCAACUGCAGAACCCCGGAGAAGGAGGACAUUAGAAAAAAAUGGACAUUUUUCCAAAAAACGUGACAUCUAACUAGUAUAUCAUAUGACAGUGGGCAGGAUCAUAACACCUAUAAACCCCUUGGCAUCUAGAAUAACCGAGGAAAUCCAGACGUACGGCUUAUCAUCUAGGCUUAGUACGGGUGUGGCUCCGAUUUUGAACAAAACAUGUGCAACCCAAAGACACGGGGGAUAAUAGAAAUAGGGUACUACAGGCUGAAGGACCUGGAGAGAGGCCUUGCCUUGUAUACCCACCCGACUUGGAGUUCCCAAACACGAUUGAUAAGGUAUGUAGCGUAGAACGGCCAUGUGCCAGAAUACUUAUUACCCUCUACCCGUAGAGACACCGGACCACUGACAUAAUAUGACGAUUUUUUAAACGCUAGCUACCCCAUUCUGCUCAGCGUGUGUAAGGACAUGUAGUUGUGGGUUACCACUUUUAUUAAGUUCGCCCGCACGAAACUCAUUCGUGAUAAUACUCUCGACCAUUAUCGGACCUGAUGUUACGCACACAGUAUUAUUUGGGUUUUGAUCUUUGUAGGAAGUGAGUAAAGUGAGAAAAGACCUCAGAUUAUGACGCAUACGGUAGACCCAAGUACAACGCGUUUAAUUAGAGGUGGUCAAGUGGGCCUUGCCAGCACGGCACUGCACGGGCAUGGCACGAAAAAACUUGCACGGGACUGAUGCAUUUCAGCAACGGUAUAGUUGGGCAACGUCACUGCAAUGGCACGGCCUGAGCUGGCAACUCUAACAAGCACGGAGGGUACGGAAAUGUCGGAGCAAGGCACGGGCAACGGCACGCAGUUUGGCCUUAACACGGCACGGCCAAUGGCCGGCAACGAUCACAGCCAGCAGGUCCGGGCACGAUACUAUAGUUGACUUAGUUUGGCACGACACGACACGGCACGACACAGGACUUAGUCAAGCACGGCAUGGGCAUGGCACGCAUGUGUCAGGGCACGGGCAUGGCACGACACGACCCAAAGUGCGCAAGAAAGAAAUGAUUAAUUAUUAAAUAAAUUAAAAUUAAAAUAAUAAUUAAAGAAAUUAACUUUUUGGCAAAAUGCUGCUAACCCAUAAGCCUGUAGCCACUAAUCUACAUUUCCAAAUUAGGAUUUCCAUAAAAAGGGGCUUUUGGUGUGUUAAAUAUUUAUAAAUUGGGCAGUCUUUCUUAUGUGUUGUCUUUGAGUACAAAACUAAUGUUAAUGUAAAUCGUGCGUUUAUUAAAAAACGGAACCGACACAAUUAACGGGCCAUGAAACGGUACGAGUUCACACGACUAAGUUAACGGCCGACAGGCAUUGGCACGAUUAAGGUAAGCGGGCCGGCACGGCAGACACGAUUAAGAGUAGAUGGGCACGGCACGGCACGACACGAGUCACAGACUAGUUAGCGGGCCGACACAGCACGGCACGAUUAAGUAAGCGGGCCGGCACGACACGAACGAAAUAAAAAUAAAGAAAAAUGGCACGACCCUGGACACCCCUUUAAAAAAAGGCCACGGAACGCUUAAAAAAGGCAAGACCAGCACGAUACGGUAAAUGUGCCCGGCACGGCACGACCCGAAACACGACUGGCACGGAAGAAAAGUGGCACGGCACGGCCACGGCGGCACGUUUGACCCCCUACGUGUAAUCAUCUAUGAAGGUGACAUAGUAGCGGUGUUGUGAUGAGAGUGCGUAGUAAAUGCGAGAUGGUCCCCAUACAUCUGAAGAAUAAGGUCAAAGGCCAGGCGCACGAGAUACGAGGAUAUAAGAGGCAACGAGUAUGCUUAGAAACUCACCAAACAGCACAGUUAAAAUUAAAUUUUGACAUGCUUUAUUAAACGAGGGAAAAAGCCCACAUAAAUAUUGAAAGUUGCAUGCCCCCCCUAACGAGCAUGCAACAAAUCUAGGUGUGAAACGAAAAAAAACAAGAGACUUUAAACCAGACGAAACUUAAAAACAGUGACUCUAACACUGGAGGAGAGAAAACAUGAAGGCUAGAUGGACAACGUUCUAGAUGGGUAAAGGGAUCCUAAAGUAGUAUAGUCAUCCCGCUCAUACCCCUUGCCAAAAUCUCUUCGAGUCAGUCCUGCAAGAAAAGAAGCAGCAGACAAUGAGAUGGUAAGAAAACAACAGCACAAUUAAGAUUCUUUUGCAAGACGGACUACAGAAGAAGAUUAUAGGCAAAAUGAGGUACAUAAUAUACAGAUGAAGGGUAAUAUAGGAGGGAGGAUAAAGAGCAACUCCCUGGAAUACGAAGGGGAAUGGAUGAUCAUCAGCAAUAAAAACUGAUUGAUGAACAGAAGUAAAGGAGAGGUGGGAAAGGUAGUAAGCUCACCAGUCAAUAUGAUUAUUGCUCUGAAUCAAAAUCCAAAGUGGGGGGGGUGACCUGACUUACCAUGAGAGCUGGUAGGGAGUCUCUGAAAACUAUAGCGGCUAUGGGGCCAGAAGAGUGGGAGGCAACAGUAGCUAAUUCCAAGUGUGACUAUAGCUGAGCAAUCUGGCUGAAGUUGUUUGAAGUCAGGUUAAAAUUAGUAGGUAUGGGUUUCCACGGCAGCAAUGAGAGCCAGUUCCGGGAGGGAAUAUAAUGAACCCACUAAGUCGCCCCCCAGACCACCUCCACCGAGGUCGAGAAAACGGCUUCAUUCUCAGGAUGAGAACCAACAACGAUCAAUGAGGUGACCCGACUUGUGACAGUGCUGAACAAUUAUAAGGGAGGAAAGGGAAAAGAAGAAAAGGAAAAGGGGGCGUAUGGAACAAUAGGAGAGGACUCGGGUAGUGAAAGGAUGGUUAAAAGACGACCCUCCGCUCAUCACCAUCCACUUCAGCAAACGCCCCUCAUAGGGAAGUCAGGGGGUUGUGAUGUGUGUGUUUAAAAUACUGAGUGCGAAGAGUCUCGAACUCAGGUUUUAAACCCAUCAAAAACUGAUAUGUAGUCGAGGAUCAAGGGUUUGCGACUCAAACUGCUCCAUCACUAGGGAAAAUCACUGAGUGGGCUCAUAUGAGCUAUUACUCCCAUCUAGUCUGAAGAUAUCCAAAUAAUCGGCAAUAGAGAGUCCAUAAGGAAGUCUGAGAGAAAUGGAGAGAUCUCUCGGUAUAGCUCAAAAAUGUCGGGACUAAUUGCGGGGCAUGGGGCAUUACAUCUAGGUCAAUGCAGGUCCACAAACCCAUGGACAGAUCAUGGUACAUAUAAACAUGUGAUAGACUCGCUCCUACAUCGAGUUGAACAUCCAACCCAAGAUAAUACAAUUAUCUGAAAACCCCAUUCAUCAAACUUGGGAUCAGUGAUUCAGCAGGGUUUUGGUUCCUUUCCCAGGAAUCCAACGGGUCUUGGCUUUCCACCAAGGGGUAAAGUGAACGAAAGAGAAAAAGAAGGAAAUAAGGGCUUCCAUUCAACAAACGCUCGUACACGUUGAGCUGGUUGAGAAUAGAAAAGAAACCUGGAGGAACUCUGGGGCUCAGAAUCGGAAACUAUAUGGGCUGGGCCAAACUUCUGGAGUGGAGUCAGCCAUCACCGCAAAACAAGAACAAUCGUAAAUAACCGACAUUUGUACUCUUUUUUUUUUUUUUUUUUAGAAAAGCAUCAUACCAGGGCGGAUGUGGCUAGACUGCAAAAUGCGGGGGAGGGGGGGGAGGAGGGGAGGGGGGAGAGGGAGGGAAGGGCGGCGUGGGGCAGGAGAAGGGGUGGUUGCUGAUGGUGGGGGCUGCGUGGAGGGAUUAAGGGAAGGGGCCUGCUGCUGGUGGGGCUGAGUGGCUGCUGGUGGAUGGGCUGAACAGGCCUUGGAUGCACAGGCUGGUUGGCUGGACUGGGCUGGCUAGAACUGCCACAGGCAUGGAUGGCUGGAGGGGAGGGAAAGGAUUGGAUGGGGUUAGAACUGCAGGGUUGUACGGUUGCGAGGCAGGGCUGCUGUGCGCUGCUGGGCUGGUGGUCAGGGCAGGGGGAACUGCAGGUGGUGGGGCUGUGUGGUGCGUCUGGAAUACAACGAAACAGGGAUGAACGGCUGUGCUUGGCUGCACGGUGCAGGGCAGGGUGCCUGGGCAGGGACAGGGCUUUGCUGGUGGUGUGUAGAGGCGUGGGCGUGCCGGUGUGUGGACUGUUAGGUUGGGUUGCUUUUAAGGCAGUUUGGGGCUAGGUUUUUUUUUUUUUUUUUUUCUUGCUCUAUACCAAGAAGAAAGAAAUUGAAAGCUAAAUUGUAUUCUCCAUCUAUACCUCAAUAUAUAAUACAACUUUUAACCAAAUUAGGAAGUGAAUAAAGGAAAAAUAUAAAGAGAAAAUAAACUUUAAGGUCAACGAUGCCUAUUAUAGAUGAAAUUAAGAUUAAGACAAGUUUCCUAAUUGGGAAUUAGGAACAAAAAGGAAAAAUAAAGAGAAAAUAACUUAAGGUUCAACAUGGCCCUAUUAUAGAUGAAUAGAUUAAUAAAGGUUUCAUAUUGGCAUGGAAACAAAAUCUUAUAAAUUCAACGUUUUUUUGUUCUACUUAAGGAGUUUUUUUGUUACGAUGGAAUGAGAUUAUGAUGAUGAUUAAUGAAAAAAACUGGUUUUUGUUCUCCUUUGAAUUUGGUGAGAUGAUUAGAUGUCAAAAUUCUAUUUCCCCUUAUAAAAAAAAUGAUCCCUUCUGCCAAUUAUAGCAGUCAUGCCCCACACAAUAAUGAUCCUCCAAAAAAGAUUAACUAGCAUAUGCAUAGUUCUUUUCUUGAAGAUCAGUCAAACAUAUAAAAUUGUUUGGUGUUUGGACUUCACAAUCUUUACACAGUUAUAAAGUUAGUAGUAAAUAUCUCAAUUUAUAUUUAAAAAAAUGGCGACGAUCAUGAUUAAGGGACUACAUACCUGCAGCUAUGGAAGUCAUCUGGAUCAAGAUAAUCAGAAACCCGAUGGAGAGGUUGCAAAGGUGUCUCUCCAAUUUGCAGCUCGUGACUGACUGAUACAAAUCAUUAAUUGCCACACGUAUUCACUGUCUCAUCUUGAUUCCGGGAAUAGAACCCUUUCCUUACCUCUACAUCUUGUUCAUGAAGAGUGUGUUCCAUCAAUCAUUUCAUACAACACGCUCAAGGGAAUUCCGUGAUUG